rnacentral:rRNA from 1 species
AACGUAGGACACAAACGUUAUCCGGAGUUACUGGGCGUAAAGCGCGCGUAGGCGGCUCCGCAAGUCGGCCGUGAAAUCUCCGGGCUCAACUCGGAGGGGUCGGGCGAGACUGCGAGGCUCGAGGUGGGCAGAGGGCAGUGGAAUUCCGGGUGUAGUGGUGGAAUGCGUAGAGAUCCGGAGGAACACCAGUGGCGAAGGCGGCUGCCUGGGCCUGGCCUGACGCUGAGGCGCGAAAGCGUGGGGAGCAAUCCGG